GGACGGGGGGAGGCGGCUCCCGGCCCGGGGGAGGAACUACAAGUCCCGUGAAGCAGCGCCGCCCGCCCGCCCGUCGCCAGCGGGGCUUUAUAAGCGGGGAAAUGGCCCAAACGCCGCAGUCGGAGCAUCUCUGCGUGCGGUGGUACGGGCUCUGUUUGGGCAGGGAGCGAUAGCGAUGCCGGACCGAUCCCCUUCCACUCGUAUCUCCCCCCUCGAGCAUCUCGGGGUCGUCCGUCCCCGCCGGGAGAUGUGAGCACGGAUGGUUGUGGUGGUGGGGUGAUGCGGCGGCUGGGAGGCGGCCCGCUGAGGUUUUGGUAACUGCCAUCCUGAUGGGCAGAUGGAUGUGAUGGCUGUUGGAGUGUCCUUUGUACCUGGAAGAGAGAAGGCACAAUCAGCCUGACCAUGUGUGGGUUUGGGACUUUUCCCCCUUGGCCAAGCAAGGAGGAUUUAUCCUGAUGUCUUCUGUCUGCUGGGAUCUCACAUCUGGAGCCCUCUUGGACUGCUGUGGGUUUUGGAUGCACCCUUCUGCCUGUAGCUGGAAAUGCGCGCUGCUGCCAGGUGGCCACAGACACCUGCUCCUCUAAAUCUGCUGGAUUAUUUCUUUUGGCAUCGCUCAGCCAGCAUGGCAGCUUUUCCUCUACUCGUGCAACUGCCUUUGGUGUUUGAGAUCACCUGACUUACAAAUGUAGAAAGCUGCAGUUGCAGCUCAGCGCUGCAGACACCUCUCCUUUUUGGGCUACUAUUUCUCAGCAUUGCAGCACUCUGGGAGAAGACCACAUCCAUACACACGUGUGGGAAUAUCCUGCUGCUCCGAGUCAGGGCUGCCUUUGCUCCGUUUGGGGCACUCUUCAAUGAAUUUUGUGUGAACUGCUCUACUGUUGCUGGAGCUGCACGGCCGCAGGUUUACAUGCAUAUGUGUGGAUAUAUGACUGAAGAAGACUGGCUUGAAGUUUUGCUUUGGGAACCAAUUGCUGGUGGAGUCCCAGUCAGAUGCAUCUAAACCAUCCCUGUGCCCACAGCUCUCCUGGGCAUCAGUGCUGGGGCUCCACUGUGCACUGAGCCACCGUGGGGUUAUGUGAGCAGCACUGCACUGAGGUGUUGUAUUCAGCACUGACAGCUGCUCUCCUCCAUCACCACCACUGGCUCUGUGUCUGCAGGUGGAUGUUCCCAUCCUUUGUGCAAAGUGCUGCUGGGGAUGUGCUCAGAAGGGGAAAAUAAGGCCGGGAUCCUCAUUUAACUGAACUGUUUGAGCCAACCUGGAGAAAAUGUUUUUCUUGCCAAGAGCUUAAAGGGAAGGA